CGAUUAGUUCCAAUAAAAAAUAAUCGUGCUGUGUAAUGCCCUCCUCUUACAUAAAUAAUUAGUUGUUAACAACUUUUUUUGUGUUCCAAAAAAGAGAUCGGCAGUCAUUAUAUUAGGUAAUUUAUUUGGAGUAUAAUUAUGAAGAACACUGUAAACAAAUUUAAUGGUCUAUCUACGUAAAUCAAGUUCCUUGCCAUGCUAUUUUAAUAUUAAUUAUAUAUAAAAUGACGCAUAAGGUGAUGAAGGACACCUACGAUUAAAUGUCUUGUAAGAAACUAAUCCUGUCACAGUCAUUUUCUAGACUAUACGCGUCAGUGAUAAUAUUCAUUAAUAACCGCUUUUAUUUUCAAUUCUUUCUUUUCCCGAUAUGUCUUAAAAGGUUUUGGAGAAAUAUUCGCCGUCCUUACAGAAUGGUUACCAUAUCGGUCGAAAUGUAAUGUUACCUACCAUAUAUAAAUUAUUUCUAGAUAUUCUAUGAUAAAAACUUAUGUGAAAAUAUCCGAACCUUUGUACGUCUGAUGCGGUAUAGAGACGUUGGCUAUAAUGGUUGGAUGCUGCGUUACUGGGCGUUCUAACAGAAGCGAGCAAGGAUACCUUAUGAAAGUAUUUUCUAGGGACCCUCAAAGAAUAAAGCAAUGGGUUGCUAAAGUUAGAAAGGAAAACUAGACACCUACCAGUAUCACAUUCCUUUGUGAAACACAUUAAGAACCCGACGUGUGGGAGAAAACGAGAGUGGGAUGGAAAACGAAAACUGAAAAAUAAUGCGGUUCUUAUCACUUCAGUCUAAAUUUGUAGAUGUAUCGCAUCUUUAAAAAAAACAUUAAAAAUAUGUUGGUUACUAAUAGAUUCAUCCACUUGACUGACACCACUAAAGAGGAAUUUCAUUUACCUUCUUCUAAAGUCGAAGCUAAACAUAUUCACGAAGUGAUAAAUCACCUAGAAACCUUCGAAUUUAAAUUAGUUCCGAAGGUAAAAGAAGCGAACUUACUGCUUUCUCACUUCCAGAAAAUUAAACCACCAUGUGCAUGUAACAGUAACCCUUAGUCCUAAAAAUACAAAAGCUUACAAUUUAGCAAUUGGUUAUUUGCGUAAAAUUAUGAAUUUGGAGGAAUUUCGACAUGAAUUUGCUUGGUAUACACUACCUAAAAACCAAAUCGAUACUGGCCAGUUUAACCUUUUGAUUAUUUUAAUGAAAUUGUAAUCAAACGUUUCGGCCACGAUUGAAAAUCAAAUUCGAACUCUUCCUUAGUGUGGUAAUUUCAAUGUCACUUAGUAUAAAAAU